UCGUACCGUGAGUAAUAAUGU
rnacentral:ncRNA from 2 species